CCAUCUCCUUCGAUUCGUCGCCGCUGCUCAUCUCUUCUUCAAGGGUUUUCACCUUCGAUUCAUCGUCGCUCAUCUCUUCUUCACCGUUGCCAUUCAUCACCGCGCUCACCAAUGUCAAAAAAACUGUGUGCUCUCUAGCGACCUCUUCUCUGCUCUACUGUGAAGCAUCAAGGUUUCCAAUGAGGCAAAGCAUCGAUCCCUUACAAGCGAGUACUCUGCUUCAAUUUCUGUCGUGCUG